rnacentral:rRNA from 1 species
CUAAAGAACCAUACAUUUUUUUUUA